UUUAUUAGAUUUAUUUGAAAUGUUUGACUACAUGGAGUAGUCUGUGAAAAAAACUUAAACAAUUAAAUGACCUUGUGACCAUAUGCAGACUUGGACAAACUUCAAAAUCAGAUAUCUAUAAAAACAAUUUCCUCCAAAGAGUAUGUUUAAGACAUGUAAGAAGAAGUAAUGGAGUAGGAAAAGUCAUGUAACCAUUCUUGAAAAUGUCACGC
rnacentral:lncRNA from 1 species